UGAAACCGCCAGGGGUGCUUUCGCUGAGAGUCCGCCGCUUCGCGCGGCGGGCAACCCGUCGAACCUGACCCGGGUAAUGCCGGCGCAGGGAGCGUGGUGCUCUUCGAAC
rnacentral:ncRNA from 2 species